AUCGCUUCUCGGCCUUUUGGCUAAGAUCAAGUGUAGUAUCUGUUCACGUCAGCUUAAUAAAUGUUCUCACCACAAAAAAGACAUGGUAACUAUGUGGCUAAAUGGAAGCAGUUGUUAAUAUGGCUGUAAUCAUUUUGCAAUUCAUGAAUGUAUCAAAU
rnacentral:snRNA from 1 species